rnacentral:rRNA from 1 species
GACGAACGCUGGCGGCGUGCCUAAUACAUGCAAGUCGAGCGAAGUGUUUCUGGUGCUUGCACUAGAAAAACUUAGCGGCGAACGGGUGAGGAACACGUAAAGAACCUGCCUCAUAGACUGGGACAACUAUUGGAAACGAUAGCUAAUACCGGAUAACAGUAUUUCUCGCAUGAGAGAUAUUUAAAAGUUGGUUAUGCUAACACUAUGAGAUGGCUUUGCGGUGCAUUAGCUAGUUGGUGGGGUAAAGGCCCACCAAGGCGACGAUGCAUAGCCGACCUGAGAGGGUGAUCGGCCACACUGGGACUGAGGCACGGCCCAGACUCCUACGGGAGGCAGCAGUAGGGAAUCUUCCGCAAUGGGCGAAAGCCUGACGGAGCAACGCCGCGUGAGUGAAGAAGGAUUUCGGUUCGUAAAGCUCUGUUGUUAGGGAAGAAUGGAUAUGUAGUAACUAUACAUGUAAGAGACGGUACCUAACCAGAAAGCCACGGCUAACUACGUG